AACGCGAAGAACCUUACCUGGGCUUGAACCGCACAGGACCCUCCUUAGAAAUAGGGACUUCCCGCAAGGGACCUGUGUAGAGGUGCUGCAUGGCUGUCGUCAGCUCGUGCCGUGAGGUGUUGGGUUAAGUCCCGCAACGAGCGCAACCCUUACUCAUAGUUGCUACCCGCAAGGGAGAACUCUAUGAGGACUGCUCCGGAUAACGGAGAGGAAGGUGGGGAUGAGGUCAAGUCAGCAUGGCCUUUAUGUCCAGGGCUACACACGUGUUACAAUGCGCGCUACAGAGUGUCGCGAACCCGCGAGGGGGAGCUAAUCGCAAAAAAGCGCGCUCAGUUCGGAUUGCAGUCUGCAACUCGACUGCAUGAAGCCGGAAUCGCUAGUAAUGGCGUAUCAGAUCGACGCCGUGAAUACGUUCCCGGGCCUUGUA
rnacentral:rRNA from 1 species